UAGGGGUGUGCAUAAUUCGGGUAAAACCGAAAAAAUUCGGUUAACCGACCAAAUUCGGUUAAUCGGUCGGUUAACCGAAUUUUUUCGGUCGGGGGUCGGUUAAUUUUUUUAUGAUUUUUUGGUUAACGGUUAAUUCGGUUCGAAACCGGUCGGUUAACCGAAAAUUUUCGGUUAACCGAAAAAAUUAAUAAAUAAAAUUAUCCAACCCAACCCAAACUCAAUUACCCAACCCAAUAAAACUAAAACUAAAGUUUACCCAAUUACCCAAUCCAAUAAAACUAAAACUAAAAGACAACCCAAUUUACUAAAGUCUAAAACCCAAUUUACUUUAAUAAUUUAUAAAU
rnacentral:lncRNA from 1 species